rnacentral:lncRNA from 1 species
CCAUUGGGGUUGGUCGGUGGAAAUGGAUUUAUUGGUCCCUGGGCUGCCCAACGUCUGCUUGAAGUAAUCUGGGGGGCAGAGUCACUGAGGAACAGCGUGCAAAGGAUCUCCAAGGGAUCCCCGCAAAGUUCAGCUGAAAUUACCUCCUGAGUCCCAGCAGCUGCUUCUGCUGGGGCUUCCCUCUCCCAAAGCCAGCAAAGAGAGAAGGAAGCCCGCAGAAUUGGUCUUACUGAAUCUGUAACUCAAGUGACCAGAUUCUCUUCUGUCACUUAAUUUUUUUUUUAAAAGUGCUGAAGGUGGACUGUGGAAUCAGCAUCUAAUGACCCCUAAAGGAUAAAAUAUUUUAUCUUCCUUAGGGGAGGAAAACCCCAAUCCUAAUUCAUCUUUUGUUUGAAUUAGAAAGAAGAAAAGCUUACCAUUUCAAGCAAGACAACAAUUCAAACAUUAGAAAAGAAGAGUUAUUAUUUGAAGAGUAAUAAACAUUGGACCUGCAGUUCCUUAGACUGUAACUGCAAAGUGCCUUACACCAGGAUUUUCCAGGAGUCCCUGUCUCUGAAGAUACAAAGUGGUUACAGCUGGUAAUAAAAAAAAGGAGAAACAGUGGUAUUUUAAUAGCAUAAGGAGCUGGAACAGAUGAUCUUGUAUCUUUCUGCUGAAGCUAUUUUACUCCAAGGAGGAAGUAAUUUUAUUUUCUUUGCUUAAAAAUUUUUGGUGUUCACUGUUUGUGCUGCUUGCAUAUUGAGACCUGAAGGAAGCUUUGUAAGUCACACUGCUUUAAAAAAAAUAAAAAUUGAGCUUUGACAUAAACUACCAAACUGCUUUCAUUACUAACAACAAUCCUUUUCUGUGGAUGCUGAAAACUGGGAAGCACUGAACAUCUACUGUAUUUGGCAUCUACUAUAUUUGUCUUUUUUACCUUUAAGUACAUCAACAGGCACUAGCCCCUUGGUAUCUCACCACCACAAUGGAAGAAGUCUGGGUUGUGUAUCUGUGCCUGAUCUUGCUUAUCGUGGUGCUUAUUCUAAUGAAGCAUAACCCACAUUUGGAAGAGGCCAAGAAGGAGAGGGAAAGCAAAAGCCCCCCACCAUCCUCUUCCUUUUUUCCCAGUACUGUUGGCAAACAGCUGGAGCACACCCAGGAAGAGCUGGAGCACUAUCUGGAGAGGCUAACCCAUGUCUUGUUUGACUCAGAAGCUAGGAAAAGGGAUGGCCACCAUGAUCAGAAGUCCCACCACCAGCAGCACAGAACCACUGAUGUUACAUCUGAAACUAAAGAGCAUUCAGGGAAGGAGGCAGCAUAUUCUCAGUAUCUGUCGAGCCACACAAGGGUUCAGACUUGAUGCAGCAGAUCAUCCUUGUCUGGACAGUUGAAAACAUUAAUAUAAGCCCUUCUUUUGUGCAAAAUCAAUGGAAAUCAUGCAGAAGCAUAGUAGCAGAAAUCAUCUUUUGCUGUUGCUCGCUUGUUUUUUGGGAGUAGUAAGAAAGAAGUUGCAACCUAAACAAACACUUGUCAAUAACUUGUCAAGAAUGAAAGGCCUAAUUCUGCUCCUGUUGAAGUAAAAUGCAUAACUUUUCAACUUUGCUUGGAAGCAGGUUAGUGCCAAACUGUCAGGGUUUUUGUUUAUUGGUCAGGCAAAGUGUAAGUGUUAGCAUAGUUUCAGAAACUGUAUAAUGGUUAACAGGGUGUACUGCUUGAUGGAGAUUCAGUCAGUUCAGAAUCUGAUUUAUGUGUCACCUGAGCACAAGAAUGUGUGGGUACGUAUGAAGGCAUUUGGGUCUCUGUCCCAGGUGAAGGAAGGACAUUGCUGCUUUUGUUCAGGGAAGGGGUAGCCUUUUUUUUUUCUUUUUUUUUUUUAAGUUUACUUUGAGCAUUUUAUAACUCUUUUAAAGCAUACAGGUUAUUUGAAGGUGCCAAAUUAGGUUCUCUGGAAAAUGAAAUCCUCUGUGUUGUCUAGAAGAGAGAGGCUGGCUUGCUAAAAGCCAUCCUUAAAGCUUCUGUGUGUCGGUCUUAUUCUAAAUCAGCCACAUCCAGGAUCUCUGUUGCCUUUGCCUGCCCAAUUCUGAGAAAGCGGCAGCUCUGUUGGUGCUACUGUGCAAGAGAGGAGUGAUAUAAAACCUGUUACGGAUGGGGAGAGAGAGAGAGAGAGAGAGAGGGAGAGAGAGAAUGCCACCCAGCUGGAAGAGGAGGCCCUGGACAAAGAUGUUCAAGAGCAAAAAUCUAUGGAAAUUCAGAAUAAUAUAACUAGUAUUGGUAAGAAACCUCUCAGAUUUUUCAGAGGGCAUGGAACUUGAAUGGACUUUGGAUCAAGGCACUGUUGGCCAUAGUUGGUUAGCUGUCAAUGUAGACACCUUCAGUUAUUCCAUCUUCCUCCAGGGAAGGCUGUUUUGCCUUGCAAAACAGAUGCUCAGAAGGAGCUAGGUUGGUGGGCGAUUGGGGUUUUUUUUUGUAAUUCAUUGCACACAUCUAAGCAUUUGCCUAGUAUGAUAAAAUCCCUAUUUUCCUAUGUAUUUCUAUUUGUUUUUACACAUGGAUUUAUUAAAUGAUGUAAAAAUAAUUUCCAGAUUUCCUCUGCUUACCCACUGACUCCCUGUUCUCAUGCAAACUGAGUAGUCCACUCAUUACAGCCAAAACAGGAGCAAAUAAAUGGAUUCAGACUUAACA